GCGACUGGCUGUCGGAGCUGCCCCUGAAGGUGGUGGCCGAAUGGCUCCACGAGGAUCUGGCAGAGCAGCGGCCGGCGCCUGUCCUUCGACGAGAGCCCCACCGGCGGAGCCUUGGCCUGGCUGCCCGACGGCGCCCGCGGUAAACCUCCCCGCCGGGGCUGCCUGGUGUUCCCAGCCGGGGAAGCGGCGGACCGGCUCUGCUUCCAGGAGGCGGCCUUGAGGCCAGUGGCCAGCGGCGCCCUAAGACCCGAACUCCGCGGCCUCCCCGUCCAGUUCGAGCUCAAUGGAGCCCGUCCAGCAAGUGGCAGCAGGCGCACCUGGAGGGCAGCGACUUCCUGGGGGUGCGCUCCGACCAUUUCUGCGGGGCCUGGAGGAAGCAGCGUGGAAAGGCCCCAGCCCUCUGCAGGUGGUUCGCACAGAAGCCCCUUGUUCUUCCAUCGCAGUCAGCCCCCACCUACCCGGCGAGCUGUCCUUGUGCACCCUGCAAGGGGAGCUGUACCUCUGGAACGUGGAGACGGGGCUCCGGCGGCUGCACCAGGACCGCGGACAGCUAUCUUCUUCC